GAGGGUUCAGAAGGGCAGAAGUGGGGAGCUGCACCCCUGCCCCUCUCCUGGUGGGGGUUGGUGACCUCUCCCUUUCUCUGAGCCCUC
ensembl:snoRNA